CCACAGGCCUCGCGGUGCUGCCGGCUCUGGAGGUGUUCGAGGCUCGAGUGAACAGCUCCUUCCUCGGCCUGAUGCCAUCGGCCCUCCUGCGAGCAGGGGUUGGACCGGGUGACCUCCGGGAGUCGCUGCUAACCCAGUUCGACAUCUAAAGCUGAACCCUGGAUGUUUCUGGUACUAAGUACCAUCUUACUUCACCAGUGUGACUAGAGGAAAGAGGAAAAGUAUCUAAAUCUGUCCAAACACAUCACUGAAAGAUUACAAAGGUGGUGGAGAAUGAACACAUGGAAAUGCCCUCAUCAGGAUCUGUUCUCUACACAGAGAUAAAGCUGAGAGAAACUCUUCCACAAGGUCUCCUUAGAGAUGACAGACAGGAGCUAGUGAACAGAAUGAGGAGGGAGUAAGAAAAUGUGCUGUUCAGUUCAUC